GGCUUUAUAUUCAUUAAUGAUAUAAAAUUGCAAAUUUUAAGGAAUAGAUUAAACACUAUUAAGGCUU
rnacentral:tRNA from 1 species